UUUCACACAGCCUAUUUUACAAUAUUCCUUUUCUGUUAUUAAUUUUUUUUCCUGUGGGAGAGAUGAGUUGGGGAAGACAUGCAGCAAAGGGCCACGAGCAGGAAUUGAACCCAGGCCACUGCAUUGGAGACCAGCCCCAAUCCACGGCGGCUGCACAAAAGACACCUGCAGAAGCUUUUAAAGAGGAUGACUGGUGUUGUACAGCUGCCGCAUACAAAACUUCCAAAACCCCCACAGUUCCUCGUUCAUCAGCACUUCACGCUCCAACCAGGAAAAAGAUCAAAGAGAAGCGAGGACGGAAUAAUCAAUGAAACAACAGUGAAAUGAGACGUCAUUCACAGUCAAGGUUCAUCUGCAGCGAUGAUUCCCGAUGAAGGCUGCACAGCUGGAUCAGACGUCCGUGGGCUUCACUGACGCCUUCGUGUUUGCACAGUUAAUGGGAUGUACUGCCCAAACAACAAGGGCCCAUGGCUGAUACUGUUAGCAGCACUGUUAUGUAUUAUUUAUGUCCUCCCACAUGACAAAGCACAACGUGAAGUAUUAGUCUGUGCAUACUAAACACAUUUUGUCCCCCGACACAAACUGAAUGAGAAGUGUUCACACAUAAACCUGUGUUUCAG